GGAAGGCAAUCGCGCCCGGUGGCGCGGCCGGGCUUCAAACUUGGUUGGGGAGGGCAUCCGCUCCUGGGCAGGUUCGACUCCGGCUGCCUUCCGCCA
rnacentral:tRNA from 1 species